GUGCACGCAGUCCCUAAGGAGCCAACAGGAGACAAGACAGGGUUCACACCCACCGAAGCACCCCGCGCCCGGUAGCCAGCAGGGCCCGGCUGCCUCCUCUGGCCCCCCAGGAGAAGGGGGAGCUCGGCCCUGGAGCGUCUCCCGGGGCACCAGGGGCCCGCGUCAGGCCCACGGUUAACAGGCACCUGCUGUCUCGCGGGGGGAUGCAUCCACUCACAAAUCCCAAACUAAAUGGCUUCCCGUGGUGCCUUCCCCCUCCUCUCGCCGGAAGGGCCCAGCAGCGCAGGUGCAAGCCCUCACCCAGGGUCUGGUCCGCUCCUGAAUACCAGAGAGGGGGAGGGAGGGACGAGUGUCCAGAGAAGGGGUGGGGAAGCCAGAAGACGACGACACGGAGACUACAGUAAGCUGACAAAGUACACAGGUUAGGAUGAACGUACACAGAACAGUCGGUUCCACCUGGCUCUGGCUUCGCUCUCCUCCCAGAGCUUAGAGCCACACCCCGCCUCCCGUUCCAGCUGCUUCCUGCUGAGCCUUCAGCAAGGCCCGCCCUUCAGUGGGGCUCCAAGGAGCAAGGGCACUAAGCUCCCUCUGGUGUGGACAUCCAGCCCUUCGCCUGCCCCCGGGCUGAGGCUGACGUCCAGCACAGCACACGGGACAGGGUCACACCUCCUCUGUGCCUCUUCCUAGUGGGAUGACCCUGAUCCAUCAGGGAUGGUGAGCACUGCCUCCCUGCCUCACAAGCUGCUGGGGGGACCAGAGCCAAGGGCUCCACACGCGUGCCCACCGCAGGGGCACAUCUCUGCCUGAAGGACUGACUGUCACAGUCGUGGUCUUCCGGUAGGAGCGGAGAAGGGGCAAGCAGGACACUACUCAAGAAACAGAAAACAAGAACUGGAGAGAAUGUACAGACACUGGGAACUUCAUGCUCUGCUGGGGGAUGUAAAAUGAUGCAGCCACUACAGAAAACAGUGCGGAGGUUCUUCACAAAGUUAAACAGAAUCACCAUGUGAUGCAGAAAUCCUACUUCUGGGCAUAUACAUCCAAAAGGACUGAAAGCAGGGUCUCAAGAGAUGUCUGUGCACCCAUGUUCAUAGCAGCACUAAACACAACCAAAAGGGGAAGCAACACAAGUGUCCAUCAAUGGAUGCCAGUCACAAAAGGACAAAUGCUGUAAGAUCCACUUCUAUGAGGCAGGGACCCCCUUCCCACCAGAUGUCCCCUGCACGUAGGACACCUGUGCUGUAUCCUCCAUUGAGGUCGCCAGGCCCUGGACGCUGUCGGCAGCUGGGCCCCUGACCAGCCAGGGGGCAGAAAGCUCCCACAGUGACCCUAACCGGAGGGUCGGGGAUGCCUCGCCUCGGGGCUGAGCUGCAGGAAGUAGCUCUCAGGCAGAGGAGUUGAGCCACCUACUCCUGCCACAGCCUCUCCGCCGUGCCCCUCGCCCACAACGGCAUGUGCACACUGUGAAGCUCCAACCCCAGCCCGGCGAAGGCUGCUAAUCCCGGGCCGCCGGGCGUCUCCUCACCUGGAGUAGACAGCCUCUCCGCGGC